UACGAAGGGGGCUAGCGUUGCUCGGAAUUACUGGGCGUAAAGCGCACGUAGGCGGCUUUCUAAGUCGGGGGUGAAAUCCUGGAGCUCAACUCCAGAACUGCCCUUGAUACUGAGGAUCUUGAGUUCGGGAGAGGUGAGUGGAACUGCGAGUGUAGAGGUGAAAUUCGUAGAUAUUCGCAAGAACACCAGUGGCGAAGGCGGCUCACUGGCCCGAUACUGACGCUGAGGCACGAAAGCGUGGGGAGCAAACAGG
rnacentral:rRNA from 1 species